AUUGAACGCUGGCGGCAGGCCUAACACAUGCAAGUCGAGCGGAUGAAGGGAGCUUGCUCCUGGAUUCAGCGGCGGACGGGUGAGUAAUGCCUAGGAAUCUGCCUGGUAGUGGGGGAUAACGUCCGGAAACGGGCGCUAAUACCGCAUACGUCCUGAGGGAGAAAGUGGGGGAUCUUCGGACCUCACGCUAUCAGCUGAGCCUAGGUCGGAUUAGCUAGUUGGUGGGGUAAAGGCCUACCAAGGCGACGAUCCGUAACUGGUCUGAGAGGAUGAUCAGUCACAUCUGAACUGAGACACGGUCCAGAUUCCUACGGGAGGCAGCAGUGGGGAAUAUUGGACCAUGGGCGAAAGCCUGAUCCAGCCCUGCCGCGUGUGUGAAGCAGGUCUUCGGAUUGUAAAGAACUUUAAGUUGGGAGGAAGUGCAGUAAGUUAAUACCUUGCUGUUUUGACGUUACCAACAGAAUAAGCACCGGCUAACUUCGUG
rnacentral:rRNA from 1 species